UUUUUUUUUUUUUUUUUGGUAUUGGUUCUUAAAAAACAGAGAACAUUUCUGUGAGUAUAAAUAAUAUCCUAUUUGUGUCUACUUAGAGAAUAAAUAUCAUUUUAUCUCAGGAAAUAUGUAAUAGAAAAGUGUAGGAGUUUGGAUUUUUCUGUUUCAAAAAUUAUUUUUUAGUAGGUGUUAUAGGGGAAAAGCUAAAUGAAAUAUUUUUUCAUCAAAAAAGGAACUACUGUCAAGAAGCUCUUCAACCCAUUACUGUGGGUUACUAUGUGGAUACAGGGUUACAUAAUAGGCUGCUGCAGAUAAGAAAUGUCAGAUCAGCACAAAGUGUUUAAACUGUAAUAUGACUAUUCAAAACACUACUGUUUCCUAUAAUUGGCACAGUGAAUUAUAGCCUGCUACAUGCAAAGGUAGUCAAGUGCCUUUAUUUACCAGCAGCUAUUGGAAUCCUACAUCUUCAUUGUGCAGGGGUCUCUGAAAGGCCAUUCUCAAACAAUAAAAGUUCAGGCACUUGUACAUAACUUAGAAAUGUCUCAUUAUAUUUUUCCCUUUUGAAACGGGUUAAUAACAAUCAGAAAAAUGUCAUUGAUUUUAUUUGCACAUUUGAACCUACAGCAAAUAUCAAAUCUUCACCUUAUGCCUCUACUUUCACAAAGAAAACAAGGACUCCAUCUAACUCCCUAGAGCCUCUAAGGAGAUAUUUCAACAAGAGUAUCAGAAUCUCCUUCAACUUUGAGAUUUGCUCUUUGAAGCAUGGAAAGUGAUGUGAGAGAAAAUAUUUCUGAGUCUUUUGAUCUCUGAAGAUAAACUUCCUUGAGGUGAACUGACUAACUAGUGCAGGAGGCACAUUAAUUACUUCUGGUCUGCACUAUAAUUUUCUUUUUUAAAUUACUUAAAUUGAAAAACCCUCUCCUUUAAAUAAACUGUAAGAAAUUAAUGCAAAUAAAUGUGACCUUUCUUGGAUUUUUUUCCGUUUAUUAACUGCUUCUUUUUUUUGUGAUAAGCUUAUCCAGUACCAUAAGUAAGAACUUGAUGUACAAAGAUGUACAAAGCCUACUCAACACUACUCAGAAACUUAUCAGAGUUUCAGAUCUGUGAUCUGUGUGUGUUAUUUUUUCUUACUCUUCAUGAUUCAGAAACUCAGUUAAGCAAGCAUUACUGGCUUUGUGUCACCAUGAGGCACAACCAAGUUUAAGCAGUCUUCAGAGAACUCAGGUUUUGAAUGGAAAAAAAUAGUUAAGAGGAAGAUAGAGGGACAAGAUCUACUUUCCACCCAAAGCAGCAUCACUAGAGAAGGGCUGAUAACUGUACAAUUGCAUGAACUUUGGCAACGACAGCCCAGCUCCACCACUACCUGGUGUGCAGUGCCAGGACCAUGGCUUUUUAGACCAAGCUGACAAUACUCCUUUCCAUUCAUUGUGUCUUACUCGGGCCUUCAACAGAAACAGAGUAGGUUUACUGUGAAUAUUGGGAAGAAACUCUUCACUGUGAGCAUGGUGAGAAACUUGAAUAAGUUGCCCAGAGAAGUUGUGAAUGCUCCAUCCCUGAAAACAUUUAAGGCCAGGCUGGAUGGGGAUUUGAGCAACCUGGACUAGUGGAAGGUGUCCCUGCUCAUGGUAGAGGGGUUGGAACCAGAUGGUCUUUAAGGUCCAUUCCAAUCCAAACCACUCUGUGAUUUUAUUGACCACAUGAUUCAGAUUCUAUAGCCAUGGGCAUUGCUUAAGUCAUGUUUAGUGUUAAUGCUGAGUAUUUCUUACACAGUGAAAAAUUCUCAAUACUUCAGUAAACAAAGAAUGGAAGAGUUUGGGGAAAACAGUGGCAGAGGGCCACCAAGAGCUGCUACAAAAAGAGCUGUUACAAAAUAUUUGACAUACGUUGGAUUUCACGUUUCGCUACUAUACAUGCUUACUAAAAGAAAGCAUUAAAGGCCAUUACACCCAGAAAAAUUACUGAGUUGUGAAUGCCUCUUGUGCCAUGCAUUUGAUAUCACUUGCUACCACAUGCUAUGCAUGUGAUGUCACUUGUAAUGCAGUAUAAUAAAAUAAAGGAAAUUAAAAUUUUAUUUAUUGAGCUGUGUGAUGGAAUGAUUACAUGAAAGAAUGCUUCAAAUACUUUUUAUCAUCUAGAGAAUCUGUUUUGUUUAAAGAGAAUAUUGCUGAUCUCUGAACUGUCAUUAAACAUGGAACAAGAGCCAUUGCCACAAUGACUCCAGAGACUAGAGAUGAAACAUAAAGGUGUCUUGCAAAACUGUAUUUCACUGUAAUGAAAGGAACUUCUUUUUCUUCUAGAUAAGAAAUGCAAAAAUUCAUUUGUGGUUAUUCCUUUUAAAUUCUGCCUUCAGAUUAUUCCAACAUAUACAACAAACAAAAUGGUCAAAUACUUUCUCACAAAUAACUCUCAGAGAUGCACAGUUAUGAAUAGAAAGGUUUCCCUCAGGAGUACUGCAAAUCAAAGCCAAUAUAUUUUAAGUUGGAAUCUGACCAGUUUACAAACAUACUGACUGCAAAUGCCUUCAACAGUACUAGAACUGGCAACUCAGAAUCUCCCUUCCUUCAUUUAAUAGCCUGAGGCAGAAGGGGUAAAUGUAAUAAAAUUGUUCUCUGCUUAUUGCAAUAUUGUUUCUUCCUGUAUGAAAGACUUCUUUCACUUAGUUUCACUUCUGGAAAACUGAAUUUACAGCUAAGAAUGGAAUUAAUUCUCCUAUUUCUUUUACUACCAAAGUGAUGCUCACAGUAAAUUGGGUUAAAUAAAGCAGCUUUUUUCUUCUGAUAGCUUCUGCAAAACAAGGUCUUGUCAAAACAAGCCAUCUCUAGCUUUCCUCUAUUCAGAGUCGAUGUGUCUCCUUCCCACGGCAGAACAAGCUCCUGUGGUAGGUGGGGCAUGACACCACAAGGCUGUUUACGUGACACAACACUUACAGGCUGCCAGCAACUGCUUUUCCCAGAUGUCAGGAACACUCCCCUGUUCAAAGCCCUGCUUUAGUGAAAUACGGCAUGGUAGGUACAGAGACCAAAUUGCAUUCACAUUCCUCUGAUAAUCCCAAAGCCAAAGCAAACCUCUCAAAUAAAUGUAUCUCAAGUAUGAAUGGCCCUUUUCCUGAAUCACUGUAAAGCAUAUGACCUCAAGAGGCAGCAUUUUCUUUGCCUGUAUAUACACAUGCCUGUGUAUACUGCCGUAAGUGACAGAGAAUAGGAUCCUUUAGUACUUGCAUUAUUUUACUGAGAAAAGGUAUAUCUUUCUGUGCUUACUUUAUGUUUUAUAUCAAUCUACCUCUAAGCAUUCGGAGAGAAUGGAAAGAUCAAGCAAGACAUGCUUGAUACUGCUCUUGCAAGCAGCUCACUGCUUGCUCUUGCUCUUGCUUUGCCAAUAGCCCAGACCUGGGAGUCCAAAACUACGAUUAAGCCUUUUCUCUUGACUGCAAUUCUGCACCAUCUUCCAGCAAUCCUUUCUGUAACCCAGAAGGCCUGUCCUUUACAUAUUUCAUAGAUCCUCCUCAGCUGAAUGCUGAAGUCUACAUAUUCAUCAGCUACUGCUUCAUUGCCAAGGGACCAGUGCCUGAGGAGGAAACUGAGCUCUAAACUAUUGGUAUCAAUUCAUUAUGUAAAUGAGGAAAAGACCACAAAGAUUAGAUACAAACUUCCCAAAUUUCAGAGAGCUUUUACCCUCCUCAGUUCAGUGUACUCUUUGGCAUGUCAUUUCACUCUAAAUGUGAUUCCUAUUUUCCUGUCAUGAUCCUUCAACAAACUUUCCCUGUCUUCACGAAAGAAGGGAACUUACAUCAUGGUAAUUAUGCAGACUUCUGCUUUCAUACAGCCACUUUCACUGUGUCCACUACCACAUUGUUUUAAGUUUCAUGUUAAGAACCCAUUAAGUAAAUCUGUCACCAUUUGACAGAUCUAAGUUCAUUUCUUUUCCUCAGAAAACAGAAGAAAAUGUUUCAAUUAAACAUUUUUAACUGGAGAGACCUAAGAAAGUUUUGCAUUUUUCAGAACAGAAGAAGGAAAUUUGAGGUAAUUUUGGCAUUACAGCACCAUAAGGAAUCAUCAGUAGCUUUGCUUGAAAUGUUUUUUGGGUUUUUUUGUCAAAGAUAUCCCUUAGCAUCUUUAUGUUUCAUACUUUCUAAAUCACAACUCAUAUUGAUUAAACAGCAGGGACAUGCCUGCACCUUUUUUUUUAGGGUCUGCAUCUGCACCACAGAGAUACAUCACGCUGCUGCAUGCUACAGAAUUCCCCAUGCCAGCCCUCUUUCCUCUCUGUGGCUCUGUGGCACACUUGCAAACUUAGACUUCUCAGUGCCAUUCUACUCCUCAGCAUCCAAUUCAGCCUCUAUGACAGGAAGUCCUUAAACUGUUAAAAUUAAAACCACCUGCCAGUUUGGACUAGGGCUGUCACACUCCAUGGCUAACCACUGAAACACACUUCAACAACUCAGUAUGAGUUGAGCAUGACUAUUUGUGGUCAGUGAGAGGGCUUCACCCUGAGAGCACCCUUGGCCAAAAAGACAUAAAAUAGGGGCAACAGAAGCAACAGCCUAAGCAGGUGUUUCUCUUUCCAUUAGCAGCAAAAUCUCAGAUAAUCAAAAUGUACAGUGAAAGACUGAUGAAAUAAGAGAGGAAAUUGAAUCUUUUUGUGUAAUAAUAGACAGAAACACAGGUUGAUAAUCACUAUGGGAGAUGAAAGAAUAUAUUUGAGAGUAAAGAAGGAACUCUCAACAGGGAUUGCUAAAUUCAGGAGACAUCUCUUUGUAUAAGAUACGAUGUUAAAAGAAAUCUACCCUUAAGACAGAACAAGUUCAGUUCACAAAGAAAUUGUGAGAAGAAUGGUAGCAGAGAAGGAACUUCAGGCAACCAUGACAUUCCUGGUAUUUCUGUUUUUCUAGCAGCAAACCUCAGCUGGAGGCUAAGGGUGAAUGGGAACAUUCACACUGUAUUACAAAUAAGCUAGGAAAUCUACAAGCUGACAGAGUUUAUGGACAGACAUACGGACAUAGUUAAAAGAAGCCAUAAUUACAGUUGUGUGAGUAAUACAUAGGCAGGCAAAUAAAAAUUAGAAGCUGCAAAUACGUUUAGCUCAGCUCUUAUGCAGGCAAACCAUAAAUCAAAAUUUCUCAGCUGUUAAAAGUAUACCUUAACUACUAGGAUAGGAUCUUUCUGUAGUGUGAUGCUUCAGAUUAAUAGUUUAAAAGCUUAAAUGAGAUGUGGCUCACUAGAUAUGAAUCCCCAUUCAAGAGAUUUUUGUAUAUCAAUUGUUAUUGAUAUAAAGUAAGAAUAAUCUUAAUGGGGAGUUUAAAACAGGCUGUGCC
ensembl:lncRNA